ACUGUAUUCAAAUACAACAUACUGGUGUAACCAGAACGCUAGCAAAAACUUAGCGUUAUAAUUAUACCACCUUAACACAAUUCAAUGCCAAUAAUCAUUUUGAAUUAUCUUGUAGUUUUAGUGAUUUAGUAUUUUUCAGACCCGCAUUGUAUAGCGUGCAAAACUCGGGUCAAUGCCCCACCUACGAUGCGGCAUUGACUUCGAG